rnacentral:tRNA from 1 species
UCCCUGGUGGCUCAGAUGGUAAAGAAUCCACCUGCAAUGUGGGAGACCUGGGCUUGAUCCCUGGCUUGGGAA